UGUGCUUCUCUUCUUCCUCCCACCCUCCACCCUCAAGUAGACCCCAGUGUCUUUCAUUCCCCAAAAGCUAACAUUUUAAACCAGCCCAAAAUAUAAUAAUUUUAAUCUGAAGUGGCAUGUGAUUUCUGUUAAUGAUAAAAAAGAUAACAUUUGAAAAGGAGUCCUUUUGAUAACCCAUGUAUUAAGGACUAAAUGUUUGUACCUUCUCCCACCCCCAGAAUCAUAUGUGAAACCCUAACAACCAAUGUGAAUGUAUUUGGAGAUAGGGUCAUAAGCAGAUGGUAGAGUUUAAAUGAGGUCAUAAGGGUGGAGCCCUAAUCUGAUAGAGCUGUUGCACUUUUCAGAAGAGGAAGAGAUACUGGAACGUGUCUCUGUCUGUGUGCAUUCAGAAAGAAGGCCAUGUGAUACAGUUUGGAUGUUGCCUCCAACCAAAUGUCAUGUCAAAAUGUAAUCUUCAGUAUUGGAGGGGAGGCAUGGUGGGGGGAGAUUGGGUCCCCCCACCCAGUGGAGGCAAGUUUCUCAUGAAUGGUUUAGCACCAUCCCCCUUGGUACUGUCUUCACAAUAGUGAGCUCUCAUGAUAUUUGGUCAUUUAAAAGUGUGUAGCACUUCCCCCUUCACGUUCUCUUGCUCCUGCUCUGGCCAUGUGACAUGCCUAUUCCCUCUUCACCUUCUGGCAUGACUGUUAAGUUUCCUGUGGCCUCCCUGGAAGCUGAGCAGAUUCCAUCAUCAUGCUUCCUGUACAGUCUGCAGAACCAUGAGCCAAUUAAGCCUCUUUUCUUUAUAAAUUACCCAGUCUGAGGUACUUCUUUAUAGCACUGCAAGAAUGGACUAAUACGCUAUGUGAAGACAAAGGGGAUGUCUGCAAGCCAGGACGAGUGCGUCUACCAGAAACUGAGUUCUGCUGGACUUUGAUCUAGGACAUCCAGCCUCCAGAAUGGAAUGUGCCAUAUGUGGAGACCUGCAUGGAAAGGAACUGAGGAUGCUCUCUCACUAAAAGCUAGAAGGAACUGAGGCCCUCAGUCAACAGUCUACAAGACACUGAAUCUUGCCAGCAGCCAAGCAGUGAGCUUGAAAGCAGAUCUAUCAUCAGCUGAACCUUCAGAUGAGACCGCAGCCUAAGCAGAUACCUUGGUUGCAGCCAUGUGAGACAACCUGAAACAGAGGGCACAGCUAAGCCUCAGCCAGGUUCAUGACCCUCUGAGGAAACUGUGAGAAAGCAAAUGUCAUUUUAAGCUAUUUAAUUUUGGAGGUAGUUUAUUACACAACAAUAAAUAACUAUUAUAAUUAUCUUGAGGAUUUAUUUCCUGGGGAGAAUACAUGGAAUUGCAUAUAUAGGUCCUCAUAUGCAGAAUACUGGUACCCUAGAGAUGUUCACCCCAGAGAUGUUUUAGGAACCUGUGAAUAUGUUACAUUAAAUGGCAAAGUUUUCCUGGAUGGUUUAAGUUUAAGAUGGAAAAGUUUUACUGGAUUAUCCAGUGGGUCCAAUCUAGUAACAUGAGUCCUUAAAAAUGGAGAAUAUUUUUUGGCCAUGAUCAGAGAGACAUGUGAUGAUGGAAAAAGUGUCAGAGAUGCAAUGUGAGGGGACUAAAACUGCUGUUGCUGACUUUAAAGAUGGAGAGAGGGGAACCCGAGUCAAGGAAUGCAAAUGGCCUCUGGAAGCUGGAAAAAGCAAGAAAUGGAUUCUCCUUUAGAGCCUGUGGAAUAAAAUGCAGUCAUGCUGACACCUUGAUUUUACCUCAGUGAGACCAAUACUGGAGUAUGACCUUCGGAGCUGAAUAAAAUUAUACGUACACAUCUUAAUUUCUUGGGAUUUGAUUACUUCUUCUGCUUUGAAAUUAGACCAAGUUUAGCCUGCCUUUGCUAUUUUGGCGUAUCUCCAAUUCUUCAUGAUUUUCUCAUCGCAAAGGCCACAUAAGGACAGUGAGAAGGCAGCCACCUGCAAGCCAGGAAGAAAGGUCUCACCAGAUACCAACCCUGCCAGCAUGUUGAUCUUGGACUUCCAGCCUCCAAAACUGGCCUUCUGCUCACAUGGGCUUCCGUGCACCUGCUUCAGGAGACAGCAACACUUGCGCCCGCACCGCGGCAGGCUCCCAUCACCUGGUGGAUAUGCCGCGCCGAGUCUCAUCACACCUUAGUGAAGGAACACAUGGACCCAUAUGUUAGCGGAUGUAUUUACAUCGUUUUAUACAGAAAGGGGAAGAAAACUGCAUACCUCAGAAAGGGGUUGCUCCUCACUCUGAGUACUAGACUAAAGAUAAAAAGACUAGAUAAAAGUACUAGACUAAAGACAGAGCUGACCCAUGACAGAUGGAGUCUUGCUCUGUCACACAUGCUAGAGUCCAG
rnacentral:lncRNA from 1 species